rnacentral:rRNA from 1 species
GACGAACGCUGGCGGCGUGCCUAAUACAUGCAAGUAGAACGCACAGUUUAUACCGUAGCUUGCUACACCAUAGACUGUGAGUUGCGAACGGGUGAGUAACGCGUAGGUAACCUGCCUGGUAGCGGGGGAUAACUAUUGGAAACGAUAGCUAAUACCGCAUAAUAUUAAUUAUUGCAUGAUAAUUAAUUGAAAGGUGCAAUUGCACCACUACCAGAUGGACCUGCGUUGUAUUAGCUAGUAGGUGAGGUAACGGCUCACCUAGGCGACGAUACAUAGCCGACCUGAGAGGGUGAUCGGCCACACUGGGACUGAGACACGGCCCAGACUCCUUCGGGAGGCAGCAGUAGGGAAUCUUCGGCAAUGGACGAAAGUCUGACCGAGCAACGCCGCGGGAGGGAAGAAGGGUUUCGGAUCGUAAAGCUCGGUUGUAAGAGAAGAACGGGUGUGGGAGUGGAAAGUUCACACUGUGACGGUAUCUUACCAGAAAGGGACGGCUAACUACGUG